rnacentral:lncRNA from 1 species
CAAUUGACUAAAGUCUUUCCUUGGUGCUGGUACAGGGAAGGGUGCCCUAAGAUUCUGUUUGCAGUCCCCAUGUGCCACUUGCUAGGUUGAAUAAAAACAUGGGUCUAUUUCCCAUCAGGGAGCCAGACAGAAGACACACUGCCUGCAGGACUCUGGAAGUAGCCAUCUGAUAAAGUAAUUUUCCUAAUCUCUGAUCUCCACUGCAGGAUUAACUGGGCAUUUGUUCUGAGUGCAUUGUAGAAGCUACUGCCUCUGCCUGUGACUCAGUUUUUAGGCCCAGGAUGGGCCCCAAGGAGUUAAAACAAGCUACCUCACUGUUGGCAGCUCACCACUGGGAAGGAUUCCAAGGGAUGACAGUUAAGAUGUAAAUAUUUUCCGGUAGACACAUGCAGGAGCUUCAUAUAUUUAGAUAAUC